rnacentral:rRNA from 1 species
UCAUAUGCUUGUCUCAAAGAUUAAGCCAUGCAUGUCUCAGUACAAGCCAAAUUAAGGUGAAACCGCGAAAGGCUCAUUAAAUCAGUUAUGGUUCCUUAGAUUGUACCCACAUUUACUUGGAUAACUGUGGUAAUUCUAGAGCUAAUACAUGCAAACAGAGCUCCGACCGGAGACGGAAGGAGUGCUUUUAUUAGAUCAAAACCAAUCGGCGGCGGGUCUGUUUACGCAGUGCUCGUUCGUCGCAUUAUAUGGUGACUUCUGAAUAACUUUAUGCUGAUCGCACGGUCUUGCACCGGCGACAUAUCUUUCAAAUGUCUGCCUUAUCAACUGUCGAUGGUAGGUUCUGCGCCUACCAUGGUUGUAACGGGUAACGGGGAAUCAGGGUUCGAUUCCGGAGAGGGAGCCUGAGAAACGGCUACCACAUCCAAGGAAGGCAGCAGGCGCGCAAAUUACCCACUCCCGGCACGGGGAGGUAGUGACGAAAAAUAACGAUACGGGACUCAUCCGAGGCCCCGUAAUCGGAAUGAGUACACUUUAAAUCCUUUAACAAGGACCAAUUGGAGGGCAAGUCUGGUGCCAGCAGCCGCGGUAAUUCCAGCUCCAAUAGCGUAUAUUAAAGUUGCUGCGGUUAAAAAGCUCGUAGUUGAAUCUGUGUCCCGUGCUGUCGGUUCACCGCCCGCGGUGUUCAACUGGCACGAUCACGGGACGUCCUGCCGGUGGAUGUGUGUACAACUUUUUUUAUAUUCACCAUCACUUACUGUGUGUUUGUGUUGUGUGCUCUGUAUUUAAUGUUUGUGCAUCAUCCGACUAAUUAAUCCUGUCAUGGUGCUCUUAAUUGAGUGUCUAGAUGGGCCGGCACGUUUACUUUGAACAAAUUAAAGUGCUUAAAGCAGGCUAAAAUUAUGCCUAUAUACUGUGUGCAUGGAAUAAUGGAAUAGGACCUCGGUUCUAUUUUGUGGGUUUUCGGAACUCCGAGGUAAUGAUUAAUAGGGACAGAUGGGGGCAUUCGUAUUGCGACGUUAGAGGUGAAAUUCUUGGAUCGUCGCAAGACGGACAGAAGCGAAAGCAUUUGCCAAAAAUGUUUUCAUUAAUCAAGAACGAAAGUCAGAGGUUCGAAGGCGAUCAGAUACCGCCCUAGUUCUGACCAUAAACGAUGCCAGCUAGCGAUCUGCCGACGUUCCUCCGAUGACUCGGCAGGCAGCUUCCGGGAAACCAAAGCUUUUGGGUUCCGGGGGAAGUAUGGUUGCAAAGCUGAAACUUAAAGGAAUUGACGGAAGGGCACCACCAGGAGUGGAGCCUGCGGCUUAAUUUGACUCAACACGGGAAACCUCACCAGGCCCAGACACUGGAAGGAUUGACAGAUUGAGAGCUCUUUCUUGAUUCAGUGGGUGGUGGUGCAUGGCCGUUCUUAGUUGGUGGAGCGAUUUGUCUGGUUAAUUCCGAUAACGAACGAGACUCUAGCCUGCUAACUAGGCGUUACUUAACCGGUAUCUCGAAGGCUCGCAUCUUUCGUACUCUUCAUGUUAUUCAUUUCAUAUGUGUGCAUUUUUUCAGUUUGGUUGGUGCGCUUGACGUGUCUCCCAUCUGUUUUUAUGUUACUAUAUGUAUGGGUGCAUGUUUGAUCGGAAGUUUGCGGUUUUUACUACCGGCGUACAAUUGAAUCUUCUUAGAGGGACAGGCGGCUCCUAGCCGCACGAGAUUGAGCAAUAACAGGUCUGUGAUGCCCUUAGAUGUUGUGGGCCGCACGCGCGCUACACUGAAGGAAUCAGCGUGUCCUCCCUGGCCGAAUGGUCCGGGUAACCCGUUGAACCUCCUUCGUGCUAGGGAUUGGGGAUUGCAAUUAUUCCCCAUGAACGAGGAAUUCCCAGUAAGCGCGAGUCAUAAGCUCGCGUUGAUUACGUCCCUGCCCUUUGUACACACCGCCCGUCGCUACUACCGAUUGAAUGAUUUAGUGAGGUUUUCGGACCGGUACGCGGCAGCGUUUCGACGUCGCCGAUGUCGCUGGGAAGAUGACCAAACUUGAUCAUUUAGAGGAA